GAUGAACGCUGGCGGCGUGCCUAACACAUGCAAGUCGAGCGAAGCACUUUGCUUAGAUUCUUCGGAUGAAGAGGAUUGUGACUGAGCGGCGGACGGGUGAGUAACGCGUGGGUAACCUGCCUCAUACAGGGGGAUAACAGUUAGACAUGACUGCUAAUACCGCAUAAGACCACAGCACCGCAUGGUGCGGGGGUAAAAACUCCGGUGGUAUGAGAUGGACCCGCGUCUGAUUAGCUAGUUGGUAAGGUAACGGCUUACCAAGGCGACGAUCAGUAGCCGACCUGAGAGGGUGACCGGCCACAUUGGGACUGAGACACGGCCCAAACUCCUACGGGAGGCAGCAGUGGGGAAUAUUGCACAAUGGGGGAAACCCUGAUGCAGCGACGCCGCGUGAGCGAAGAAGUAUUUCGGUAUGUAAAGCUCUAUCAGCAGGGAAGAAAAUGACGGUACCUGACUAAGAAGCACCGGCUAAAUACGUGCCAGCAGCCGCGGUAAUACGUAUGGUGCAAGCGUUAUCCGGAUCUACUGGGUGUAAAGGGAGCGUAGACGGAUGGGCAAGUCUGAUGUGAAAACCCGGGGCUCAACCCCGGGACUGCAUUGGAAACUGUUCAUCUAGAGUGCUGGAGAGGUAAGUGGAAUUCCUAGUGUAGCGGUGAAAUGCGUAGAUAUUAGGAGGAACACCAGUGGCGAAGGCGGCUUACUGGACAGUAACUGACGUUGAGGCUCGAAAGCGUGGGGAGCAAACAGG
rnacentral:rRNA from 1 species